UUUCCGUAGGUGAACCUGCGGAAGGAUCAUUCAUAAUAAAGUGUUUUAUGGCACUUUUUAAAAAUCCAUAUCCACCUUGUGUGCAUUGUUAGAUCUCGUCAAUCUUGGCGAGAUUUUUAUACAUCAACUCAUUCUUUAACUAAUUUGUCUGAAAAAUAUUAUGAAUACUUAAUUCAAAAUACAACUUUCAACAACGGAUCUCUUGGCUCUC
rnacentral:misc_RNA from 1 species